UGGGGAAUAUUGCACAAUGGGCGAAAGCCUGAUGCAGCAACGCCGCGUGGGGGAUGACGGCCUUCGGGUUGUAAACCUCUUUUGUCGGGGAAGAAGCCUUUGGGUGACGGUACUCGGGGAAAAAGCACCGGCUAACUACGUGCCAGCAGCCGCGGUAAUACGUAGGGUGCAAGCGUUGUCCGGAAUUAUUGGGCGUAAAGAGCUCGUAGGCGGUUUGUCGCGUCUGCCGUGAAAUCCUGGGGCUCAACUCCGGGUCGGCGGUGGGGACGGGCAGGCUAGAGUGCGGUAGGGGAGAUUGGAAUUCCUGGUGUAGCGGUGGAAUGCGCAGAUAUCAGGAGGAACACCGAUGGCGAAGGCAGAUCUCUGGGCCGUUACUGACGCUGAGGAGCGAAAGCAUGGGGAGCGAACA
rnacentral:rRNA from 1 species